rnacentral:rRNA from 1 species
CCUACGGGAGGCAGCAGGGAGGAAUAUUGGGCAAUGGACGAGAGUCGGAACCAGCCAAGUAGCGUGAAGGAUGACGGCCCGAUGGGUGGUAAACGUCGGUUAUAAAGGAAUAAAACGAGGCACGUGUGCCUUUUUGCAUGUACUUUAUGAAUAAGGAUCGGCUAACUCCGUGCCAGCAGCCGCGGUCAUACGGAGGAUCCGAGCGUUAUCCGGAUUUAUUGGGUUUAAAGGGAGCGUAGAUGGGUUGUUAAGUCAGUUGUGAAAGUUUGCGGCUCAACCGUAAAAUUGCAAUUGCUACUGGCAGUCUUGAGUACAGUUGAGGUAGGCGGAAUUCGUGGUGUAGCG